AGAUUAAGCCAUGCAUGUGUAAGUGCAUACCAGAUAUGGUGAAAACCGCGAAUGGCUCAUUACAUCAGUCGUAGUUUAUGGGACAAUAUGACAGGUGGACAACUGUGGAAAAUCUAGAGCUAAUACAUGCACACAAGUCCUGACGCAAGAAAGGACGCAUUUAUCAGAUCAAAGCCAACGUUCUCGCAAGGGAGCAAAAUUAUGAUGACUCUGGGUAAAUUUUCGGAUUGCACUGCCUUCGAGCAGGCGACGUUGAUUGCAAGUGUCUGACCUAUCAACUUUUGAUGGCAGUCGACAUUACUGCCAUGGUUGUAACGGGUAACGGGGAAUCAGGGUUCGAUUCCGGAGAGAGAGCAUGAGAAAUGGCUGUCACAUCCAAGGAAGGCAGCAGGCGCGCAAAUUACCCAAUCCCCGAUCGGGGAGGUAGUGACGAGAAAUAGCGAUGCCGCGAUCAUUUGAUUCGGCAGUUGAAAUGAGAACAAUGAAAGAAUUUUAUCGAGAAUCUAUUGGAGGGCAAGUUCUGGUGCCAGCAGCCGCGGUAAUUCCAGCUCGAAAAGCGUAUGUUAAAGUUGCUGCGGUUAAAACGCUCGUCGUUGGACAUCAGGAGAUGGAUCGUGGACAACCUAGAGUUGCUACUACGGUUUCACUCCUUUUUUAUGCCAGUUCAUCGAUGAUGUACUUGAAUGUGUGUCACGGUAGAAGGUCAAUGUCACUUUGAGAAAAUUAGUGUGCUCAACGCAGGCUUUACGCUUGUAUAAUGCUGCAUGGGAUGACGGAAUAGGGCCUCGGUUCCGUUUCGUUGGUUUACGAAAGCAGAGGUCAUGAUUAAUCGGGACAGACGGGGGCAUUCGUAUUGCGAUGCUAGAAGUGAAAUUCUGUGACCAUCGCAAGACGGACAACUGCGAAAGCAUUUGCCAAGAAUGUUUUCAUUAAUCAAGAACGAAAGUUAGAGGAUCGAAGACGAUUAGAUACUGUCCUAGUUCUAACUGUAAACUAUGCCGACCGGGGAUUCGCCAAUGCAAUAUUGCUUGGCGAGCACCCUCCGGGAAACCAAAGUGAUUGGGUUCCGGGGGGAGUAUGGUUGCAAAAUCGAAACUUAAAGGAAUUGACGGAGGGGCACACCAGAAGUGGAGCCUGCGGCUCAAUUUGACUCAACGCACGAAAGCUUACUCGGUCCGAACACCGUGAGGAUUGACAGGUUGAAAGCUCUUUCUUGAUCCGGUGGGUAGCGGUGCAUGGCCGUUCGUAGUUGGUGAAGUGAUUUGUCUGGUUUAUUCCGAUAACGAACGAGACUCUAGCCUACUAAUUAGCGUGAUGAUUGAUCGUCAUUACAAAUGCUUCUUAGAGGGACAGGUGUUGCUUAAACACACGAAGUAGAGCAAUAACAGGUCUGUGAUGCCCUUCGAUGUUCGAGGCUGCACGCGCGCUACAAUGGAGGGCGCAAAGCGCACUACGCAUUUUGAAAAGGAUGCGGAAUCGUAAAUAGCCUUCAUGACUGGGAUCGGAGAUUGAAAUUAUUCUUCGUGAACGAGGAAUUCCUAGUAAGCGCGAAUCAUUACCUCGCGUUGAUUAAGUCCCUGCCCUUUGUACACACCGCCCGUCGCUACUACCGAUUGAAUGAUUUGGUGAGGUCUGUGGAUAGGUGUCACUGGGUUAACCCCCUGUUGUACUUACCUAGAAGCUGACCAAGCUUAAGCGUUUAGAGGAAGUAAAAGUCGUAACAAGGUUU
rnacentral:rRNA from 1 species